GGCAAUUCUCGGCAGGGCCGAGGCUUGUAGGAGUUGACCUGACAAGACGCCUCGGAGGGUUCUGUUCUGCGCCAGAACAGCAUGUCAAGAGGCAGGUAGAUAUAUGACAUACAAAAUACGAGGACAUUGAAACAUUUGCUGUACUGUUAGAUUAAUUACGUGAGGAAGAAUCUUCAUAUACUCUUACAUGAAAAUAGACAUAAAGAAAGAAGGAACUAAAUUGUUGUAAGACGUUUUUCUUUGUAGAAAAUUUAAUUAACAGAGAGACUACAAUACUAUCGCUAUCAGAACCCUACAAAUCACAAAAGUCAUUCGGAAAAUAGAUAUUUAUAAUUGAGCAACUUCCAUUUUUUGUUGCACUGAACAUUAUACGAAUUCUAAGUGCACCGUAUCAGCAUUCUCGACGUAUUUGUGUUUCUCUUUCUCGAAAAAGUCCACCAAAUGAUCGAUAAAUUUCCCGUGAUACUCGUUAACCUGCUCUUCGGUUGGUUCUUCAAUUUUUGGUAAAUCCAUCGGACUACCGACUGCAAG